ACCGCAUCUAGCCUGAGGCUGAUCCCCAAGGGCGAACACCGGGAAACCCUUGCCCGGCUGGUGCGGUUUCCGAUUCAAGGG
rnacentral:sRNA from 1 species